AUAACGGCGACCGUGAAGACUUUUAAAAUAGAGACCAACGUGGCCGGGCAGGAAGAGCAGGGUUCCGCCUUCAGGUGUUUGGGACUCAGCUGAGGGUGUGGGUGCCCCGCGGUGGGGGCUGAACCUUCCUGGGGUGUGGAGAGACGAAAGGAGCCCAGAUCCAAGUUCCCUCGUUCCCGCUUUGGCAUAAGUUGCCCUGGCGGUCUCAUGAGAGAGAGAAAGAGCUGGGACCCUCCUCGCCCCAGUGAGUGUGAUGUCUUGCUCCGGGUGUCCUGGGGCAACUUUCUAUAAAGGCGGGACGUGGGAGGAUCAGACAGUGUAACAUCAGACAAGGGUGUUGACUCUGCAGCACAGAACCAGUAGUUUGUGGAGAAGAAUGAGGUGUGGUGUUGAAUCUGCUAGACAGGCUACUGAAGCAAAAGUCAAGAGAUCCAGAUUCCAUCAUGGGGACACUUUAGCUGUUGUAAAAAGGAUUGAGUUCUUGAUUUGAUUCCCAGCUUGGUCAUUGGUGUAUAGCAGUGCUACUGAUUUGUUUACGUUGAUUUUGUAACCUGAGACUUUACUGAAUUCGUGUAUCAGAUCUAGGAGCCUUUUGGUUCUUCAUCGGGUAAUUGAGCUGAUAUCAGGUGUCUGAAGGAGGCAAGUUUUGAAGAUGUGGGUCAUGAUGGCUGCUGAAGCUUCCACUCCAUAUUUGAAGGUCAGCAGUUCUCAGGAAACCUCUAGCACUUCCAUCCCUGGUGGGAUAUGAUGCCUGUCUCAGGGUAAAUACUAGGAGUCCAAUGGCUGGAUCAUAUGGUGGAUGUGAGAUUAACAUUGUAAGAAACUGCCAAACUGUUUUCCAAAGUGGUGGCACCAUUCCUUAUUCAUUCCCAUCAGCAGUAUAUGAGAAUUCCAUUCUCCACAACCUUGCCAAAGCUUGUGUAACAUCAGAGAAGGGGUGUACUCUGUGCCCUAGAACUAGGAGCUAACAGAGAAAAACCAAAUGUGAUGUGGAGUCUGCUAGACAGGCUACUGGAGCAAGAGUGAAGCAAUGAAAGUCUCAUCAUCCGGACAUAUUAGUGUCUUGCUCUGUCACCCAGACUGGAGUGCGGUGGCCUGAUCUUGGCUCACAACAGCCUCCACCUACCAGGCUCAAGUGAUCCUCCUGCUUCAGCCUCCUGAGUAUCUGGAACUACAGGGAGGCAGCAGGUGGCUGAAAUCCUGGUGUGAUGUGGCUGGAUCAUGCAUGAUCUGAGGACUCCUGCACAGGUGACUGCAGGAUGAGUACAGAAUUUUUCUAUAAAUAUACUAAAAUACCAAGUAAGCCAGGAGCAGCCACUAGGCAAACACCAAACCUUGCAUUCCUGACCAGACCUAUCACAGAGCUCAUCAGCACUGAGCUCCUCACACAGGUGACUGAACCCGUGGUUUUGGUGUCUGAGAAGAUGCAGCUUCUCCAGUCUCUGCAACUGAUGGCAGGAAGAUGGGAGCACUCAGCGUCAGUGUUCAGAAGCAGAUUUAGGCCAACUAUCAUACCUUACGUUCUGGAGGGAUCCACCCUGACCUGAGCAGAAGGCAUCACACACAUUCCCAAGCAGCAUGGUUCCCGUGAGAAACUGAAAACUAAUUUCUUCAAUCUACAAUGCGACUUCCAUCUUCCAGAUGGGGUUUCACCAUGUUGCCCAGGCUGGUCUCAAACAUCUGGUCUCAAGCGAUCCACCCGUCUCAACCUCCCAGAGUACAAGGAUUACAGGGCACAAUUAUUUUAUCUUGGAACCAACAAUCUUCGGAGAACGUAUCCCAAAGAUACAAUUCAAAAAGACAAAAAGGCAGAAGCACAAGGUCAUUCUUGGCAGAACAAAUUGUAACGGCAGAAGACUGGAAAUAAGACAG